AUGAGAGCGGCGCUACGGGUGCGGAACAUGUGUGCAAUCUGCCCUUAUCAAGGGGAUAGCCCAGAGAAAUCUGGAUUAAUACCCUAUAACAUAUGGGAUGGCAUCAUUUCAUAUUAAAAGCUACGGCGGAUAAGGAUGAGCACGCACAAGAUUAGCUAGUUGGUAAGGUAACGGCUUACCAAGGCGACGAUCUUUAGGGGGCCUGAGAGGGUGAUCCCCCACACUGGGACUGAGACACGGCCCAGACUCCUACGGGAGGCAGCAGUGAGGAAUAUUGGACAAUGGGUGGAAGCCUGAUCCAGCCAUCCCGCGUGCAGGACGACUGCCCUAUGGGUUGUAAACUGCUUUUAUAUAGGGAUAAACCUACUCUCGUGAGAGUAGCUGAAGGUACUAUAUGAAUAAGGCACCCGGCUAACUCCGUG
rnacentral:rRNA from 1 species